rnacentral:tRNA from 1 species
GGUUAUGGCUCAGUGGUAGAGCACUUGUUUAGCACGUGUGAGGCCCUGGGUUCAAUCCUCAGCACCA